GGAUGAAGAGAAUCGGGUUGGAACGGUGUUUCUUAAGUACGAGCUACCGUUCGACACGGUUUCCUUCGACU
rnacentral:pre_miRNA from 1 species